rnacentral:rRNA from 1 species
UGCGGAAGGAUCAUUAUUGAAUAAACCUGAUGUGACUGUUAGCUGGCUUUUCGAAGCAUGUGCUCGUCCAUCAUCUUUAAUCUCUCCACCUGUGCACAUUUUGUAGUCUUGGAUACCUCUCGAGGCAACUCGGAUUUUAGGAUCGCCAUCGGCUUUUCUUUCAUUUUCAAGACUAUGUUUUUAUAUACACCAAAGUAUGUUUAAAGAAUGUCAUCAAUAGGAACUUGUUUCCUAUAAAAUUAUACAACUUUCAGCAACGGAUCUCUUGGCUCUCGCAUCGAUGAAGAACGCAGCGAAAUGCGAUAAGUAAUGUGAAUUGCAGAAUUCAGUGAAUCAUCGAAUCUUUGAACGCACCUUGCGCUCCUUGGUAUUCCGAGGAGCAUGCCUGUUUGAGUGUCAUUAAAUUCUCAACCUUCCAACUUUUAUUAGCUUGGUUAGGCUUGGAUGUGGGGGUUGCGGGCUUCAUCACGAAGUCGGCUCUCCUUAAAUGCAUUAGCGGAACUUUUGUGGACCGUCUAUUGGUGUGAUAAUUAUCUACGCCGUGGAUGUGAAGCAGC